CCGAGUUUACAACUCCCAAACCCCUGUGAACAUACCACUUGUUGCUUCGGCGGGAACAGACGGCCCUGUAACAACGGGCCGCCCCCGCCAGAGGGCCCCUAACUCUGUUUUUAUAAUGGUUUGUUCUGAGUAAACAAGCAAAUAAUUA
rnacentral:misc_RNA from 1 species